rnacentral:rRNA from 1 species
UUCUGGAGCCAUAGAACCUUGAAUUGUGAUUUCCCCUUCCCCCAGCUCACUCAAGCUAAGCAAGGUUGAGGCUGGUUAAUAGCUGGAUGGGACACGUCCCGUGACAACCCAAGGUGCCGCUGAUU